rnacentral:rRNA from 4 species
AAUCCAUAGGUUAAUGAGGCGAACCGGGGGAACUGAAACAUCUAAGUACCCCGAGGAAAAGAAAUCAACCGAGAUUCCCCCAGUAGCGGCGAGCGAACGGGGAGGAGCCCAGAGCCUGAAUCAGCAUGUGUGUUAGUGGAAGCGUCUGGAAAGGCGCGCGAUACAGGGUGACAGCCCCGUACACAAAAGCGCAUGUGCUGUGAGCUCGAUGAGUAGGGCGGGACACGUGGUAUCCUGUCUGAAUAUGGGGGGACCAUCCUCCAAGGCUAAAUACUCCUGACUGACCGAUAGUGAACCAGUACCGUGAGGGAAAGGCGAAAAGAACCCCGGCGAGGGGAGUGAAAAAGAACCUGAAACCGUGUACGUACAAGCAGUGGGAGCACCCUUUGGGUGUGACUGCGUACCUUUUGUAUAAUGGGUCAGCGACUUAUAUUCUGUAGCAAGGUUAACCGAAUAGGGGAGCCGGAGGGAAACCGAGUCUUAACCGGGCGUUAAGUUGCAGGGUAUAGACCCGAAACCCGGUGAUCUAGCCAUGGGCAGGUUGAAGGUUGGGUAACACUAACUGGAGGACCGAACCGACUAAUGUUGAAAAAUUAGCGGAUGACCUGUGGCUGGGGGUGAAAGGCCAAUCAAACCGGGAGAUAGCUGGUUCUCCCCGAAAGCUAUUUAGGUAGCGCCUCGUGAAUUCAUCUCCGGGGGUAGAGCACUGUUUCGGCUAGGGGGCCAUCCCGGCUUACCAACCCGAUGCAAACUGCGAAUACCGGAGAAUGUUAUCACGGGAGACACACGGCGGGUGCUAACGUCCGUCGUGAAGAGGGAAACAACCCAGACCGCCAGCUAAGGUCCCAAAGUCAUGGUUAAGUGGGAAACGAUGUGGGAAGGCCCAGACAGCCAGGAUGUUGGCUUAGAAGCAGCCAUCAUUUAAAGAAAGCGUAAUAGCUCACUGGUCGAGUCGGCCUGCGCGGAAGAUGUAACGGGGCUAAACCAUGCACCGAAGCUGCGGCAGCGACACUGUGUGUUGUUGGGUAGGGGAGCGUUCUGUAAGCCUGUGAAGGUGUGUCGUGAGGC